AUGAACUCCUACCAUUAGUGACUGGUUUUAUUCAACUAGUGCAAACAGCUUUGUCAACUCAAGAUGAAGGUACCCCAGGAUAUCAAGCCCCAUUGGUCCAGACAGGUGAUUUUGGUCGAUCCAGCUACCUAAUCACGGAAGAACAACUGAGAUUCCUGCUUUCAUGUGGAUUUGUAAUUGCACAAAUCACUGAAAUACUGGAUGUAUCAGUCAGUACAGUUAAACGAAGAUUGAGGUUGUUCAACUUGUCAACUUUGAGGUAUGCACGCCUUUCUGAUGCAGAACUUGAUGAAGCGGUUCGGCAGUUGGUUGGAGAAAAUGAAGAGAUGGGAGCUAAUGCUGUUGGGGCCAGACUAGCUUCUGUGGGUGUUCGAGUGCAGAGAAGGAGAGUGAGAGAGAGUUUGAUUCGAGUGAAUCCUGCUGGGGCCGCACACCGAGCAUUGUCUCACCGAUUGCACCGGAGAACCUACAGUGUAGCAGGUCCCAACUCGCUGUGGCACAUUGAUGGGAACCACAAGCUCAUCAGGUGGAGAAUGGUGAUCCAUGGUGGAAUCUGUGGCUUCAGCAGACUGGUUGUGUUCUUGCAGACUUCAGACAAUAACAGAAGUAGCACAGUGUUUGAUCAAUUUGUUCAAGCCACUGCUAGGUAUGGGGUACCAUCUCGAAUAAGGUGUGA